rnacentral:rRNA from 1 species
GUUAUUAAAUACGUUUCUAAGAGUCGAGUUGUUUGGGAAUGCAGCUCUAAAUGGGUGGUAAAUUUCACCUAAUGCUAAAUAUAAGCGAGAGACCGAUAGCGAACAAGUACAGUGAUGGAAAGAUGAAAAGAACUUUGAAAAGAGAGUUAAAUAGUACGUGAAAUUGUUGAAAGGGAAACGAUUGAAGUCAGUCAUGCCGGUGGGAAUCAACUUAGGGGAAACUCUGGGUGCACUUCUUCGCUUGGCAGGUCAACGUCGAUUUUGAAUGUCAUAAAAUAAUUGGGGGAAGGUAGCUCUUUCGGGAGUGUUAUAGCCCUUGAUAGAUGUGAUGUUUGGGGUCGAGGAUUGCAACGGAUACCCUUGGGGCUAGCCGCCUGAUCUCUAAUUGGUGUUGGGUUACGGAUAGCAUGCUGACCGUGAUCUAAUUACUGGUUAAAAGGCU